rnacentral:rRNA from 1 species
AGAUUGAACGCUGGCGGCAGGCCUAACACAUGCAAGUCGAGCGGUAGAGAGGUGCUUGCACCUCUUGAGAGCGGCGGACGGGUGAGUAAUGCCUAGGAAUCUGCCUAGUGGUGGGGGAUAACGUUCGGAAACGGACGCUAAUACCGCAUACGUCCUACGGGAGAAAGCGGGGGACCUUCGGGCCUCGCGCCAUUAGAUGAGCCUAGGUCGGAUUAGCUAGUUGGUGAGGUAAUGGCUCACCAAGGCGACGAUCCGUAACUGGUCUGAGAGGAUGAUCAGUCACACUGGAACUGAGACACGGUCCAGACUCCUACGGGAGCAGCAGUGGGGAAUAGUUGGACAA